rnacentral:misc_RNA from 1 species
UGACAUAUCUGGUAAGCCAACUCCCUAGUAUGACACAAAACAAGGGCAAUAACUUGGCCAGAUGUAGGCUCAAUUUGCUGAAGAGUAGACAGAACAAAUACAGCAGUCUUCCCCAUCCCAGAUUUAGCUUGGCAGAUAACAUCCAUGCCCAAGAUGGCUUGAGGGAUACACUCAUGUUGAACUUCAGAAGGAUGCUCAAAUCCCGAGUCCACAAUGGCCCGUAGAAGCUCUGGCUUCAAAAGAAAGUCUCUGAAUCCGGAACUGUGUAUUCCAACAUAGCCCUUCUUGGCGGAUUCGCCAUUGACUUUGGCAGCAACAGAGUCUGGGGCUUUCUCUUCUUCUUCCUCGUAGUCGAGAAGCUCCUCCUCGUAAGCAUCGUUGUCCCUUGUUUCACCCAUGUUCUGCUAGGCUCUGAAAAAAAGGUGGAUUUGGGUUUUAGGAUUACGGUUUGGAAAGUCUGCAAAGGAAAAUGGUUAGCGAGCUAAAAGAAAUUGGGACAAGAUUUUGAGUGUAAGGAGACCCCAGCA